rnacentral:rRNA from 1 species
AUGGAUGUCACCUUCAGGGAAUCCGAACCAUUUUAUGGUGAGAAAACCGAUCUUAGUGGAUCAUUUGAAAGUCUUGACCAUACCCAGUCUACUGUGAUAAGUCAAGAGGGGGAGAGUGGUGGUGAUGGUGCCGAUUCUGGUGUCGAUUUAGUGCUGCAGCAACCAAUUGAGGGUGAUAUUGCAGUAGUACAACGAAAAGAGCAGCAGCCCCAGGAAAUGAUAACACCACAGAGUGAAGGACUAAUUGUGACUGAGGGGGUGCCGAGUCAGGCAGGCGAUGCUCCCACCCAGAUCGGUUGUGUACCGAGGUGGAUGGCAGAGCAAGAGGAGCAGCUAAACGUGUAUUCACGGAAGCAAGGUGAUGCUUCUCAUAGGUGGCAGAAUGUGAAUGAGGAGCGUAAUCCUCAAGUAUAUUCAAGACGAAAGCAUCAUGUUCAGGGGGAGCAGCAAGGCAGUAAUGCAAGCUCAUCUGACAUAGAGGACUUGCCAAUUGCGUUGAGAAAAUGUACUCGAGCAAAAGCAGGGAUACCAGAGCCAAAGUAUGGGUUCGAUGCCAAUGAUAUUGGAAAUUAUGUUUCGUAUGAAGCAUUAUCUCUAGCCCACAAAGCAUUUGUUGCUUCUCUUCAGCUGGUGUCUCUUCCAACUGACUGGAAGGCAUCAAAAGUGGAUCCGUAG